GUGUUAGACACCUUAUUUAUAUAGGUUAGUUAUUUUAGUUAUUUAGCGACGCACCAUAGUAGACGCAUAUUGAACGGGACUAGUGACGUUUGGGAUAUGUUGGGUUAGAGACCGGAAAAUCAGUUAGCGAUAGAACAUUCCAGGGUAACGACGUGUUUAGUGACAGAGACUUCUACUGUGGCCCUUUUAUCAUAAUAAAUACAUGUUGAAUAGUUCAUCAGAGUCGACUACAUCUCUUCACUAGUUAAAAUAGAUGUGCCAGUUCUUGUUUGUGUUGUAGUUCAACUGCACGUAAUACACCCGGACAAUUACACCCAAACGAUUGCAGAGUAAUUGGUUGACUUCAAGACAGCCUGAACUAGCAACAUCACAGUGGCGACCCCGAACCUCGAAGCCGGACCCCUGUUGAAGCCGAACAUCGAACCGAACCUCGAAGCCGGACCCCUGAUGAAGCUGAACAUCGAACCGGACUUCGAAGCAGAACGUUUACUCAGGUGAGGGUCGUGCACUCGAAGAUAUAAGAUUUCAUCGGAGUACGGCUGAACACAGCAGUAUCGCAGAGUGACUUUGUUCUAGAUCUACAUACAGUCAUCGCCUGUUUGAUCGCACGUUCAACGAGCCGUUAACUCAGGGUGACCUUCGUCAGGACCGUAAUCAUCGCAACGCCUGAUCUUCAUAUGCUGAAUCGACCUACAGCCAGAGAAACCGUUCAUUCAUAACGGGUGAGAGAUCGUUAGUGAACCUGUUGGACAUAUUUUUUCUUCGUCAUAGGAGCCACAUUGAGUAUCAAGUUUUACCUCGUCAGUUUCGAGAAGGACAGUUUACCCGCUGUCAGAAGUAUUGUGAGUACUACAAGUUUGGUAGCUAACUAAAUCGAAAUCGCUCUGUCGUCUUACCCUUGGAGAGAUUCUUGUGGAGCAGUUUGCUCAUUGAACCGGUUGCUUGCCACGUUUAUAACGGUCACUGUGUUUAACCUUUGGAAGGUUAGUGAAGUAAUCUUUAUCAGUACUGAACAUUGAUAUAUCUAGUAUUCGUCGGUCUAGACCAUAUCUAGACUUGUUGAUAUUGCAGUUGUGGAAACAGCUACAUCCACUUAAUCUCGUUGAAAACCGUUAGUCGUAUAACGGAACGUCGUCGGAGGUGACCUUGGUCUCACCUAGUCUACAUUGGACAGUUUGGUCUAGUGAAGCAGAGUACAACAGCAAACUUCGUCGUACUACCAGAGUAGCAGCAGAAGCAGUGAACUAUUUUAGAGAACCGUUAUUCGUCAGCCCAGAUCAAGUCAUCGUCAAGAAAGCCGUUAUUCGUCAGCCCAGAUCAAGUCAUCGUCAAGAAAUUCGUUAUUCGUCAGUCGUCCAGAUCAAGUUGUCGUCAAGAGACUGUUAUUUGUCAGUAGUCGUCUACACAAGUCAAGUCAUCGCCAGAAGAACCGUUAACCUAUUCGUCAGUAACUGUGUACACAAGGUCGUCGGAACUACACAUACGGUCAUCAACAGUCGUCGAAGAAACUGGAACAUUUUGCUGUGGCAUAUCAGUACAUCUGUGGCAUUACGUGGGAUACUGGUAGCACCGGAGAACAGAGUCAGAACUGGAAGAGAGGCAGUGGAAUUUGUUGUGAUCUAACAUAUUCGGGAGUCCGAACAAAGGGAUCUUUCUUAUCAAAAGCUAAGUGCCAUUUUUCUUAUUAGUAUAUGUUUAGAUUGCCCUUAGAAAUAGAUUUUGUCUAAAUUUGGUACGUUAGCCUGAGUAAAAUCAGGUGGUGCGCCUUAAAACCCGUCGGGGUAGAAGACGUAAUUUAGAUGAAAAGCUAUAUUAUACGUUUAGGGUUGUAAUUUGUUUUGUUUGUGCAAACGUCAUAUCCGUUGUUGCCUGGUUACUUCGUGACGUUAUCAUUGUGUGCCAUAUUGUCACAUCCCAACCCAUAGUGAUAGUCUCAUUUAAUUAUUUCAUUUGUUUAUAUUAUUUUAAAUUAUUUAUUUUUAUUAAUUUAAUUAGAUCUGUAUUUUUUUUUCACUUAAUGAUAGAAAGUGCGGGUAGGAUUCUUUUACUGUGAAUCAGACUAAAAUAAUUUUAGUUUGAGCGGUUAAAAUCAAAUAUGAUUUUGCCAUGAGAAUAAUGCCGAAACUGGCUAUGUAGUCAAACACUGUCGUCUGGCUAAAUUUAGAUCUGCAAAUUGUUGUACAUCUCUUUGGUACAAUUUAAUUAUCUAGACUCUACUUUGAAAUAUUAUUAAGUUGAAGAUGAAUGAAGAUUACUGCCAGUGAAGAACAUUUGAGAUGUAUAGGACGUGCCCAUAAGAUGCCACAUUUUCCUCCAUGAUGAACUAUGUACCAAUGAAGAUGAUUCUGGAAUGUUAUGAACUGUUAUGAACAUUGACAUGAAUAUGAGGAACUGUCAAGAUGAAGAUGUCAAGAUGAAGAGAUCAAGAUUUUAUGUUUGUGGUCUUCCCCUUAAAUUGAAAAUGCCCUUGUAAGACUUGACAGUAGUGGAAAAAUAUUGACAUAUUUUUUUUUCAAGGGGGGGAGGAAUCUGUUAGACACCUUAUUUAUAUAGGUUAGUUAUUUUAGUUAUUUAGCGACGCACCAUAGUAGACGCAUAUUGAACGGGACUAGUGACGUUUGGGAUAUGUUGGGUUAGAGACCGGAAAAUCAGUUAGCGAUAGAACAUUCCAGGGUAACGACGUGUUUAGUGACAGAGACUUCUACUGUGGCCCUUUUAUCAUAAUAAAUACAUGUUGAAUAGUU